AGGUGCGUCAAGAACUGUUAAAGCGAAUGGAUAAAGGAAAAUAUGACACCAUGAAGAAUUCAACCUCAGCCUCAAACACCAAAGAAAGAUGAAAGCAAAGGUGGUGCCAAGAGAAACAGCAACUCACAUGUUCAGUACAUGAAGAGAAAAUGACUUAGAGUUUAAUUUGUGGUAUAUUAUACUUCCUGAACACGUAUAAAGGUGUCAAUGUUUACCCUAAAAACACGUUUAAUUAUUAAGUAAGGUGUAUGAUAUAAUCUGGUGUUUUUAAAUGUUGUAUACACAUAGAAAAAUUUCUAGGACAAUUUUAUUCAAAAGGAAUGUCUAUAGAUUG